GUAGGGAAUAUUGCAAAAUGGGCGCAAGCCCGAUGCAGCAACGCCGCGUGGGCGAUGAAGGCCUUCGGGUCGUAAAGCCCUUUUUGAGGGGAUGAGGAAGGACAGUACCCUCAGAAUAAGCCUCGGCUAACUACGUGCCAGCAGCCGCGGUAAAACGUAGGAGGCGAGCGUUAUCCGGAUUUACUGGGCGUAAAGCGCGUGCAGGCGGAUUGGAGAGUUGGAUGUGAAAGCUCCCGGCUUAACUGGGAGAGGUCGUUCAAUACUUCCAGUCUUGAGUGCAGUAGAGGGAAGUGGAAUUCCGGGUGUAGUGGUGAAAUGCGUAGAUAUCCGGAGGAACACCAGUGGCGAAAGCGGCUUCCUGGACUGUAACUGACGCUCAGACGCGAAAGCUAGGGUAGCAAACGGGAUUAGAAACCCCAGUAGUCC
rnacentral:rRNA from 1 species